GAUGAACGCUGGCGGCGUGCUUAAUACAUGCAAGUCGAGCGAAAAGACGCGGAGCUUGCUCCUCUGACGUUAGCCGCGGGCGUGAGAGUAACACGUGUAUACCCUACCUAUAAGACUGGGAUCACUUCGGGAAACCGGAGCUAAUACCAGAUAAUAUAUUGAACCGCGUGGUUCGAUAGUGAAAUUCGGUUUUGCUGUCACUUAUAGAUGGAUCCGCGCUGCAUUAGCUAGUUGGUAAGGUAACGGCUUACCAAGGCGACGAUGCGUAGCCGACCUGAGAGGGUGAGCGGCCACACUGGAACGGAGACACGGACAAGACGCCUACGGGAGGCAGCAGUAGGGAAUCUGAGGCAGUGGGCGAGAGCAUGACGCAGCAAGGCCGCGUGAGUGAUGAAGGUCUUCGGAUCGUAAAACUCUGUUAGUAGGGAAGAACAGAUGUGUAAGUAACUAUGCAGGUCUUGACGGUACCUAAUCAGAAAGCAACGGCUAACUACGUG
rnacentral:rRNA from 1 species